rnacentral:lncRNA from 1 species
UAAAAGACAUGAUUGUAUAUACAUACAUAUUCUAUCUACCUCUCUCUUUAUAUGGGGUAAGGCCAGUUAGGUCCUAAUCUACAAUCUUACUCUAUUGCACUGGCCUAAGAAAAGCUGCAACUCCUUCGCUGAAAAAAGGCCAGCCCAUGUCUCCUCCUUCUGUCCCCUCUUUAUCCUUUAUUCUUUUGGGAGAAAUGCUUAGUGUACAGGGCAUUUGUCACAGGGUAUUUACAGGUCUCCUCGCCAUGCAGGGGCUCCAAAUGUAUUUAAAAAAAAGUUACGUGGGCCC